GACGAACGCUGGCGGCGUGCUUAACACAUGCAAGUCGAACGGGCAGGUUCGGCUUUUGUCGGCUGACGGAGUAGCGAAAGGGUGGGUCAUACGCGAGUAACCUGCACUAGACUUUGAGAUAACUUCUGGAAACUGGGGCUAAUACAGGAUAGGAGGUUCUGCUGCAUGGUGGGGGUUGGCAAGUUACGGGGGUUGGGGAUGGACUCGCGGCUUAUCAGGUUGCUGGCGGGGUAGUGGCUUACCAAGGCAUUGACAGGUAGCGGGCCUGAGAGGGGGACCGGCCACGUUGGGACGGAAAUGCGGCCCGGCCUCCUACCGGAGGCAGCGGUGCAGAGGGGAGCACUAGACGCGGAGGCCUGAUGCAGCAACGCCACGUGCGGUAAGACAUCCAUCCGUUUGGGUUCCACAGUCGCCUUGGACGAGGCGAGAAUGACGGUAAUGGAUGAAGAAGCACCGGCUAACUUCGUG
rnacentral:rRNA from 1 species